AACGAACGCUGGCGGCAGGCUUAACACAUGCAAGUCGAGCGCCCCGCAAGGGGAGCGGCAGACGGGUGAGUAACGCGUGGGAAUCUACCCAUCUCUACGGAAUAACGCAUGGAAACGUGUGCUAAUACCGUAUACGUCCUUCGGGAGAAAGAUUUAUCGGAGAUGGAUGAGCCCGCGUUGGAUUAGCUAGUUGGUGGGGUAAAGGCCUACCUAGGCGACGAUCCAUAGCUGGUCUGAGAGGAUGAUCAGCCACACUGGGACUGAGACACGGCCCAGACUCCUACGGGAGGCAGCAGUGGGGAAUAUUGGACAAUGGGCGCAAGCCUGAUCCAGCCAUGCCGCGUGAGUGAUGAAGGCCCCAGGGUUGUAAAGCUCUUUCACCGGUGAAGAUAAUGACGGUAACCGGAGAAGAAGCCCCGGCUAACUUCGUGCCAGCAGCCGCCGUAACAC
rnacentral:rRNA from 1 species